rnacentral:misc_RNA from 1 species
UCAGGAUUAUUUAUUAAAAUGCUCUGUUUAGCUAAAAAAGAAUUUGUUCCAUACUUUACGGACACAGUGUAUAUAUAGUUUAUGUAGUUUCGUAAUAUGGAUAUAUUGACAAAAUUUAUGGACCUGUUACGAAAACUGUUUUAAAAUAUAUACGGAAAAUAUUUUAAAAUAUUAAAACGGAAAAAAAUACUUUCGAGUUAGUCCCAUAUAGUACAAAAAAACAACAGAAAUAAGGAACUAUUUAAGUUUGAGCCCUUAUAUUAUUAAUAUCCCUUCACUGUUUAUGCAAUAUAGCGAUUUAUAACGAAUUGGACCCAAUUAUUUAUUACAUUUUGCAUAAUAUAAAGGCUCAACUAAAAAUUGUUCUAUAUAAUACAAAAAAUGUUAAAACACAAUCUCACCAUGUUCUUUUUCUCUCUGUGUCAGCGCUAACCGGCAGAGCAUUUCAUUUUGUGCCCUUAUCAUUUAAAAUCACACUUAACAAAAAUUUUGAGUUGAGCCCUUAUAUUACUCAGGGUGCGAUAUAUACGUUUUUUAAUUCUUUUAUUAAACUAUUUUUGGUUUCAAAACAAAAAAUAGUUUCAGAACCAAUAUUUGGGUGUCUACUGUUUCUUGUAAUUUUAUUAUUUUUAAUUUAAUGUAGUUUUACUGAUUUUUUGUAGUGGCCCAUUCAUCUUAUUGAAAGGUUUUUCGAAUAUUGUAUAUAUAAUUUAAUGAGACUUUUUCAGGAAAUACCACAUCAGCGAGGGCUCGAUAACACGGAAAGAGUCCCACCAGAGCUCAAUCCGUUUGAUACGUAGGUAUCUGGGAUGAGUGAAUUUUCCCCUUAGUGGGAGUGUGAGCCGUAUGGCGUAAAUCUGGAUUUCUGGACAUUUUAGCUAUCCACAGCUUAACACGUUCAAUGCCAAUAACGCGCUGGCGCGUCGAUACAUGACAAUGGCUAGGUGCCGACGACGCUCUCGCGCGUUCAGACUUUCAUCGAUUAUUAUCUUGGAUUAUUUCACUGGCGCUACAACAGGGCUUUUUAUAUUUUAAAGGCAGAAUCUUGGGUUUUGUACCGUAAGAAAAAUGGACUGGUAAUUAAUCCACCACCAGGCUCACCAUCUAAUGGAUAAUUAGGAGACCCGAUGCCUGACAAAUGACACCACCAAAAUGGACAACUUUUCAUCUAGCAGCCUUACAUCAAAAACAACAUUUGGCAAAUAAAUUAAGUAUUUAAUAAGGAUAUUUUUCUUUAAUAUUAAGAUAUUCAGCAACUUUUUUACCUUUGAACCUUCAGACUUUUAACUUUUGUUUGGACCUUUAGUCAUUUUUGAGGCCUUCAGCCAUAUUGUUCAGGACUUGUUAUAGAGACAAGUCUACCAAUUUGUUUAAUAAAAUAUUCUUGUAUAAA